CCCCUCUCAGGGUCACACCUGGGGAGUUUCCAGGACUCUACCGGUCUCGACGAUGGGAGGGAGAGUCAAACAGAGUCCUACCCAUUCCAUUCCUAGCUUGGAAAAUGGCUAGUGAGAGGAAGGCCCUCUGCUACGAGU